CUCUGGUCAAGAGCUUGUAUGCUAAUUCUCUUACUGGCUAGGAGAGUAGGUGGUGACAAAAACCUAACCCAAAAGCAUUAGAAGAGUGAUGGGAGUGAUUUGCCUUGGUUCUUUAAAUCUGUGACAGGAAGCAUCAGGGAGAAGUAUAUAACUGCAUGUUCUGGAAUGGCACAAAGCUGAGAGAAAAGCUGCAAGGCACUGCUUUGCCGUAACGCCGUGUCAUGAUGUAGGAAGUCUGAUUGCCCUCGGAUCUGCUUGAGCAGUUCUCAUUCUGUGGCCUCCUGUCUCAUCAAAUCUGACAGACUGUGCCCCAGCAGUGCUUGGGUGGAACCUCUGGAGAAGAUUUAUAUGCAAUAGGGAGAAGUUCUGGUGACUCAAACCCAUCAUCCCCGCCUAGCCCAAACUGAAACAAAAUUUCUGAGAUAGUGCUAAGGAAGUUAAGAUUUGACGCAGUUUCCAUUUUCAGCUGUGAUGUACUGCUCAGACAUGCCAAAUAUUGAGCCAUUAAAAUGU